rnacentral:tmRNA from 1 species
GGGGGCGAUUCGGAUUCGACGCCGGUAUCAAGGCCUAAGGUGCAUGCCGAGAGGGUAGUGACUCUCGUAAAUCAAUCGCUGCAACUUUAUAGUUGCUAACGACGAAAGCUACGCCCUAGCAGCCUAAACCGCUUGCUAGCGAUUGCCACAGGGAUGUCCGUAAACUUGUGAUCGCAAUCGUCAUCUAGAACGGAAUCGCCAGCCAAGUGCGCUUGACACGAAGCGGCUAAAAAGUAUCAGGCUCGCCCAAAUCUCCCUGCCCGUCGGGCCGACGAGGGUUAACUUAAUAGACGACACUAUGCAUGUAGACCCGAAGGAAGAGAGCUGACGGACGGGGGUUCAAAUCCCCCCGCCUCCACCA